UAACGAGAUAUAGUCGCUCAAAACUGGAAGAUGCUUCUUCUACAAGUAAGCAACCAUCGAGGAAAGCAGGCUAAGUUUCUACGACACUGAAACAAUGAUCGAGCGCAUAAAGAAUUAUAACGAACUUUUCCGGAAGUGCGUCAGUAGAAUACCGACAAUGCAUAGAACGGCAGUGGCAAGAAAAAAAAAAAAAAAAAAAAAAAAGAAGAAAGAAUGGCUCAAGAAGAAAGAGAAACAGAAAAAUAGUGAGGGUACGGUUAUCGUCGGAAAUUCGAUAACGCGUUGUAUAACCACAAUUAUAUCAAACCGUUAACAUGCUAUCGGGAUACGUAUCCUGUUUUAAGACACUCGAAAAAUGUCUGCGUUUUCCGUCCAUUGGGCGUCAUCGUAGGCGCGAAACAUUUUCUACCUAUGCCGCGAACAGAAAUGAGGAAGAGAAAGGGAGAAGCGAAGGAAAAAUGUCUUACCUUUUAGCGUCACGAUAUUUACGAACGUCAAACGAAAUACGUAUCGCUACGUCAAAGGUUGCCAAGCUCUGUAACGUUUUAUCCGGACGAUUACAUUUAUCCUCGUGACCGUGUAUCGACCGUGUAACUUUACGAUUGUCCGUACCGAAGUUCAUACAUUUUUCAUGGGUCAGCUAAAUUUUAAAUAUCGUCGAUAUAUCGCGAUAUAUAGCUUGUCUCUCGAACUCAGCAGAAAUAAAAUCCUUUCCUGCUG